UCCGGCGAUAUCACGUUGAAACACCUUUUAUCGUACGAUCACCGAAGUUAAGCAACGUUGAGUCUGGUCAGUAACUAGAUGAGCGACCUCUUGAGAAUACCAGGAGCU